GAGGUGGAAGCAUGGUGACAUGUGGAGCUGACGAAUACUAAUAGAUCGAGGACUUAACCAUA
rnacentral:rRNA from 2 species